AAUAACAGGAAUGGAGCUGGUGAAUGAGUUUUUCUUUGAAUUCUGGUUAGAUACUACAAUGCAAGUAACCUACAACAGCGUGUGAGCCACUGUCAACCAAUGAAAAUGUGUCAGCCUUGGCUUCAUCCUUGACUUUGUAUAAACCUCAAGAGAGAAACAAUGGCUCAAAUAUUCCUUCUGUCUUCAAAAACAACUUCCUUCUAAAAGGCAAGGUGAUGACAAACAUUUUAAAGGGGGUGGUUUCCUUAUGACUGAUGAAAACACUCUUGCUCAUUUAAGUUCAGAAGUCAAACCCCAAGUUAGGUCUAGUGGUGCUACACUUAAAGGGAGCAUACAUGUUUGCUCAUUUGUUUAUUUUGUUUUUUCUCUUUCCCAAAUGAAAUUGGAAGAGGUAAAGCGUCGCUCCCCGUCUUCGUGGAGGAACGACACAGGACCCUGCGCUGUUCUUUUGUCUGCUCGGCCCUCCCCAGGUUUGCUGCUGGUUCUUCCCGGGUUGGCUACCGUCCCUUCCACCUCCGUGGAAGGGCGGUUCCCCCUGCCACUUUCCCCACUUCCGCGGGGGAGCGGCACUCCGCCGGCCGGCUCUCUUGGGGGCUGCACAGGUGUUCCUUCAGAUAGAUGUUCCUCUUAGAUGUUCCUGGUGCAUGUUGUCUCUCUCCUCCUUUAUAGUCCUCUUCCACCAAUCCCAACUCUGCUACCCACACGCCGAGUACGCUGCUCUCCUCCAAUCAGGAGUAGGUCCUACAGUUUAUUGGUUGAACUGGAGGCAGCUGUGUAGAAGCUGUUUCUCCCUUCUCAGCGCCAUAUUGUGGGAGAGCAGAUGCAUAGAAUAAGUCUUAAUUCCAGCAA